AGCAGCCGCGGUAAUUCCAGCUCCAAUAGCGUAUAUUAAAGUUGUUGCAGUUAAAAAGCUCGUAGUUGAAUUUCGGGAUCAAUUUGCUGGUCGUGCCUUCGGUACGCACUGGUAUUAUUGGUUUCUCCUUUCUGAUGAAUCGCGGUGUCAUUAAUUUGGUGUCGUGGGGAAUCAGGACCGUUACUUUGAAAAAAUUAGAGUGUUUAAAGCAGGCUCACGCUUGAAUACAUUAGCAUGGAAUAAUGAAAUAGGACGUUUGAUUCUAUUUUGUUGGUUUCUAGGAUCGACGUAAUGAUUAAUAGGGAUAGUUGGGGGCAUUAGUAUUCAAUUGUCAGAGGUGAAAUUCUUGGAUUUAUUGAAGACUAACUACUGCGAAAGCAUUUGCCAAGGAUGUUUUCAUUAAUCAAGAACGAAAGUUAGGGGAUCGAAGACGAUCAGAUACCGUCGUAGUCUUAACCAUAAACUAUGCCGACUAGGGAUCGGAUGAUGUUAAUUUUUAAUGACUCAUUCGGCGCCUUAA
rnacentral:rRNA from 1 species